rnacentral:rRNA from 1 species
UCGGGAAUUUUGGGCAAUGGGCGAAAGCCUGACCCAGCAACGCCGCGUGAAGGAUGAAGUUUUUCGGAAUGUAAACUUCGUAAAAAUAGGAAGAAUAAAUGACGGUACUAUUUGUAAGGUCCGGCUAACUACGUGCCAGCAGCCGCGGUAAUACGUAGGGACCAAGCGUUAAUCGGAAUUACUGGGCGUAAAGGGUGCGUAGGCGGUUAAAUAAGUUAGAUGUGAAAUCCCCGGGCUUAACCUGGGAAUUGCAUUUAAUACUGUAUGACUAGAGUAGAGUAGAGGGAAGUGGAAUUUCCGGUGUAGCGGUGAAAUGCGUAGAUAUCGGAAAGAACAUCAGUGGCGAAGGCGGCUUCCUGGACUCAUACUGACGCUGAGGCACGAAAGCAUGGGGAGCAAACAGGAUUAGAUACCCAUGUAGUCCCUGAGCGGGCUGGCAAGGCGCAU